rnacentral:rRNA from 1 species
AGAAUCAACGCUGGCGGCGUGCCUCAGACAUGCAAGUCGAACGCGAAAGUUUCCUUCGGGAAACAAGUAGAGUGGCGCACGGGUGAGUAACACGUAGGUAAUCUACCUUUGGAUGGGGAAUAACAACCGGAAACGGUUGCUAAUACCGCAUAAUGCAGCGGCACCUAAUGGUGACAGUUGUUAAAGCGGGGGAUCGAAAGACCUCGCGUCUAAAGAGGAGCCUGCGGCGGAUUAGCUAGUUGGUAAGGUAACGGCUUACCAAGGCUACGAUCC